UUUGGCACAGCUUGUUCCAGGAUAGUUAGGAGCCAUAGAAAACGGGAGCGCCAGCUUUGGUGGAAGGCGCUGGUGGGAUACUCCCCGGGCCGUGUUGGCAUUCUAACCCACACCCCGUGAUCCGGGUGGGAGACAGUUUCAGGUGGGCAGUUUGACUGGGGCGGUCGCUUCCUAAAAGGUAACGGAGCGGCCAAAGGUUCCCUCAGAAUGGUUGGAAAUCAUUCGUAGAGUGUAAAAGCACAAGGGAGCCUGACUGCGAGACCUACAAGUCGAGCAGGGACGAAAGUCGGGCUUAGUGAUCCGGUGGUUCCGCAUGGAAGGGCCAUCGCUCAACGGAUAAAAGCUACCCCGGGGAUAACAGGCUUAUCUCCCCCAAGAGUCCACAUCGACGGGGAGGUUUGGCACCUCGAUGUCGGCUCAUCGCAUCCUGGGGCUGUAGUCGGUCCCAAGGGUUGGGCUGUUCGCCCAUUAAAGCGGUACGCGAGCUGGGUUCAGAACGUCGUGAGACAGUUCGGUCCCUAUCCGUCGUGGGCGUAAGAAAUUUGAGAGGAGCUGUCCUUAGUACGAGAGGACCGGGAUGGACGCACCGCUGGUGUACCAGUUGUCUUGCCAAAGGCAUCGCUGGGUAGCUAUGUGCGGAAGGGAUAAGUGCUGAAAGCAUCUAAGCAUGAAGCCCCCCUCAAGAUGAGAUUUCUCUUUCUUUGAAGUAAGACCCCUGAAAGAUGAUCAGGUUGAUAGGUUCGAGGUGGAAGUAUGGUGACAUAUGGAGCUGACGAAUACUAAUCGGUCGAGGACUUAACCAA
rnacentral:rRNA from 1 species